rnacentral:rRNA from 1 species
AUUGAACGCUGGCGGCGUGCUUAACACAUGCAAGUCGAUCGGUAACGCGGGGGCAACCCUGGCGACGAGAGGCGGACGGGUGAGGAACGCUUGGGAAUCUGCCUAUCAGCGGGGGACAACACGGGGAAACUCGUGCUAAUACCGCAUACGCUCUACGGAGGAAAGCCGGGGACCGCAAGGCCUGGCACUGAUAGAUGAGCCCAAGCCGGAUUAGCUAGUUGGCGGGGUAACGGCCCACCAAGGCGACGAUCCGUAGCUGGUCUGAGAGGACGAUCAGCCACACUGGAACUGAGACACGGUCCAGACUCCUACGGGAGGCAGCAGUGGGGAAUUUUGGACAAUGGGCGCAAGCCUGAUCCAGCCAUGCCGCGUGAGUGAAGAAGGCCUUCGGGUUGUAAAGCUCUUUCGGCCGGGAAGAAAUCGCACCAGCUAAUACCUGGUGUGGAUGACGGUACCGGAAUAAGAAGCACCGGCUAACUACGUGCCAGCAGCCGCCGUAAAAC